CCCCCUUUAUAUAUAAUCCCUAAAGAAAUUUUAUUUUUUGAAAUUCAUUCAAACGCCGCACCCUCCACGUCCACAAAUGUUGCUCCGGAUGGAACUAUGAAUAUGGCUGGCGUGCUGUUGGUUUUCUAAACCAGCUUCACGUUCUGGGACUUAUAGACAGCCAGCCACAAUGAUAAUUGCCUGGUACAUUGAAUACAACAACCACAGCAUCACGGUGGUUCAGCCGCCACAAUGAGCAAUGUCUUGAAAUUUUUGGGCGUUGAAUAGUUUGCACUGCAGAUAGCAUCUGAGCGGCUCAGGGGUUCUUCAAAACUGUUCACAGUACUGCAGUUUCAAUUAAAGAAAUUCAAUAACACCCAAGAUCUUCAUGAAUCAAGCAGCCAAUGACUAUCUAUAAGGUACUAAACAGAGUGCAAUUGUGCAAGUGGCGGGUCAUCAGUUUAUAUCAAAGCAGCAUUCAUAUCAGGAUCAGCCAAUCCUAAAAAGAUGUCCAAACAUAAACAAGGAUGCAUAUCCCUUGCAGCAAGUACAGAUGCAAAAGGAAUGCAUGAAGUCAUGGCUCAAAGCAGCAUUCAUAUCAGGAUCAGCCAAUCCUAAAAAGAUGUCCAAACAUAAACAAGGAUGCAUAUCCCUUGCAGCAAGUACAGAUGCAAAAGGAAUGCAUGAAGUCAUGGCUCAAAACUGAGCUCCUAACAUAUACCACAAGUGUAUAUCGAAUAAUUCUAAUGCCACAAGUACGGUAAGAAAUCUGAAAUUAACACACCAGAUUAAAACCAGGACAAUUGUAGUCUUCAAAGAAAAGAGAAAGAAAGCAGGAUAAAUGUGUGAUGCUUAGUCUGUGCCAGAAGAGACUCCACUUCCAUCACCCCCUUCUUCUUCUUGUCUUCAGCUGCAGCAUCCAUCAUAGACCGGUCUGUAACCUCACCAAUGUGAAGAACUAGUCCAACUGAGUUAGGCUCCACGGCUGUUGAAGGGCUGUCCUCGGUCUCAGGCACAAUGCCAGCCUCAUCCUGAAGCAAGAUUGAAACAUAGGUAUUCAUCUUUCAACAACAAAAUAGAUCACAUACAUAAGAAUUUCAUACAAUUAAUCUUAACUACGCUUUAUUUUACGAAAGAAACAGUCUCUUUACUUUACAUAGAGGACUGUGUACUGCACACCAACUAGUACUCCAAAGAGAGAAAUCAUGCUUUUGGCCACAGUUUACUCAAUGCUAUGCUACAUCCUGUCAUGCUCUGUUACUCGAUGCUAAAACAUAUAUAUAUAAACGUAAUUAUUGACUAAGCACGUACAUUUAUACAGACAAAUUCUUCUCAUUACCCAAGUAAACCCAAAUCAACAAAGUUCUUACAGUUAAAGUAGACCCAAAUAUUUUACAAAAAACUUAAAAAGGCUUGCUGUAAAAGUAAAACUCGAAAUUGUUUACCAAGCUGUCAAUUAGGCCUCUAAUACAAGGUAACGGAAUGUUACCGUCGGCAGUAGCCUUGCCGGGGCUCCAGCCCGGUGCCGGAGUGGGAAAAACCUCAGGUGGUGCUGGAGGCAUGCAGAAACUCAAAGGGUUUGUGCAUAAUCCCAUAUCUUCCAUUACCUUGAGCACCUGGAAUGGCAGAGUAAGGUAAUUCCACAUCUUGACGGACUCCAAGUGAUCGACCCAGGAUGCAGGGCUCGCAUUUUCGAGGUACUCUUGCGCUUCUUUCUCCUUGCCAGCUUUGAGCAGGUAGCAAUGCACAAUUUUGAUGAAGCGUUUGUUGCUGGCCACCCGAACCUGCUCCACGCAGUCCUUGAGAAGAGCAGAGUCAACUGGACUGGGGUUAAUCUUGUCGGCUGAAUCGCUUUUAUCGACAGCAGUUUGUUCUGCAAGAGCCUUCUCCAGACAAGAGUGUGAGAAGCACUUUUCCAGUAUGAGAAGCAUUUCUUCUUUGUUCAGGAGAAACAGUUCCGGGAUCAGAUCGAGUUCUUUGAAGUGAGAUUCCAUUAGGCUUGCAAGAACAUAAGCGUCUGGCUUGAGAGGGGUCGACAUCACUGUUGAAUUCUUGGGUUUUGGAUUUUGGGUUUUUGGAGAAGAAAGGCUAUGGUGGUGGGGUUUGAAGAAGGCACACGCUGAGGCUUUGUAUUUGUAGAAAGAGUCAUAUUAUUAUAAACUUUGAGAAUCAACUU